rnacentral:rRNA from 1 species
UACGUAGGGUGCGAGCGUUGUCCGGAAUUAUUGGGCGUAAAGAGCUCGUAGGCGGUGUGUCACGUCGGCCGUGAAAACCUGCAGCUUAACUGUGGGCGUGCGGUCGAUACGGGCAUCACUGGAGUUCGGCAGGGGAGACUGGAAUUCCUGGUGUAGCGGUGAAAUGCGCAGAUAUCAGGAGGAACACCAAUAGCGAAGGCAGCUCGCUGGGACGGUACUGACGCUGAGGCGCGAAAGCGUGGGGAGCGAACAGG